ensembl:misc_RNA 7SK 7SK RNA
GGAUGUGAGGUCAAUCUGGCUGUGGCAUAUGCCGUCUCAUGAAUUGCCAGGGUUAAUUUGGCUGACCUAGCUAGCUAGACUGGUGUCCUCUCUCUCCCUUACCAUACUUUGUGCAUCCCUCCUGAGGCUGCAUGCUCAGUCAAAGAGAACAACCUUCCCCCAACUAGAGAAAGACCCGUCUUCAGUCAAUAAUAUACUAGUUCCCCUAACAGAACUUCAAACAAGCUUUCAAGGGACUACUUAAGUGGGACCAGUAAGAAUGAAAGAACUUCAGUACAUGGUAACU